rnacentral:rRNA from 1 species
AGAGUUUGAUCCUGGCUCAGGACGAACGCUGGCGGCGUGCCUAAUACAUGCAAGUCGAGCGGAGUUUUGAAAAGCUUGCUUUUCAAAACUUAGCGGCGGACGGGUGAGUAACACGUGGGCAACCUGCCCUUGAGACGGGGAUAACUCCGGGAAACCGGAGCUAAUACCGGAUAACACAUAUCUUCGCAUGAGGAUAUGUUAGAAGGUGGCUUUUAGCUACCACUCAAGGAUGGGCCCGCGGCGCAUUAGCUAGUUGGUGAGGUAACGGCUCACCAAGGCGACGAUGCGUAGCCGACCUGAGAGGGUGAUCGGCCACACUGGGACUGAGACACGGCCCAGACUCCUACGGGAGGCAGCAGUAGGGAAUCUUCCGCAAUGGACGAAAGUCUGACGGAGCAACGCCGCGUGAGUGAUGAAGGUUUUCGGAUCGUAAAGCUCUGUUGUUAGGGAAGAACAAGUACCUGUUAAAUAAGCAGGUACCUUGACGGUACCUAACC